GCUAACUGCCGUUUUUUCCCCCCAACCUGGACUAAAUAUUCCUAUAUUUUCGUGUCUAAGUGACUGUUAGGAAAAACAAUCUUUGACAUUGGUCCAGUUUUAAGCAAGAUCCCUGCAGUCAGCAGCGGAAAAACAACAAGUUACAAUGUAAGUUAAUAGGUCAAUUGUCCAGCUUGCAUUUGCUUAACAAAAGUGUUGUUUUGCCACUGACAUGCUCAGAUUAAUAUUUAUGAUAUUUGUCUGACAACAUUAUGGAAAGGAACCCUUCAGAGACAGACCUUUAACCCUCUUUGAAACCUAUCUGUUUAACCAGAAACAACUCUGAAGUCACUAGACCUAAACCCACCAGACUCCCUUUAAAAAUAAAAAGCAAUACUUUUAGUGUGUAUAGAGCCAACAUAUUUUCACAUUUUAAAUCGGUAAACUAUUUGUUUAUUACAACCAAAACUAGAGUUGCGAUGGUUGGAAAAGUGGAUU